rnacentral:rRNA from 1 species
UUUGAUCCUGGCUCAGGACGAACGCUGGCGGCGUGCUUAACACAUGCAAGUCGAACGAUGAUGCCCAGCUUGCUGGGCGGAUUAGUGGCGAACGGGUGAGUAAUACGUGAGUAACCUGCCCUUGACUCUGGGAUAAGCCUGGGAAACUGGGUCUAAUACUGGAUACUACCUCUUACCGCAUGGUGGGUGGUGGAAAGGGUUUUACUGGUUUUGGAUGGGCUCACGGCCUAUCAGCUUGUUGGUGGGGUAAUGGCUCACCAAGGCGACGACGGGUAGCCGGCCUGAGAGGGUGAGCGGCCACACUGGGACUGAGACACGGCCCAGACUCCUACGGGAGGCAGCAGUGGGGAAUAUUGCACAAUGGGCGGAAGCCUGAUGCAGCGACGCCGCGUGAGGGAUGACGGCCUUCGGGUUGUAAACCUCUUUCAGUAGGGAAGAAGCGAGAGUGACGGUACCUGCAGAAGAAGCGCCGGCUAACUACGUGCCAGCAGCCGCGGUAAUACGUAGGGCGCAAGCGUUGUCCGGAAUUAUUGGGCGUAAAGAGCUCGUAGGCGGUUUGUCGCGUCUGCUGUGAAAGCCCGGGGCUCAACCCCGGGUCUGCAGUGGGUACGGGCAGACUAGAGUGCAGUAGGGGAGACUGGAAUUCCUGGUGUAGCGGUGAAAUGCGCAGAUAUCAGGAGGAACACCGAUGGCGAAGGCAGGUCUCUGGGCUGUUACUGACGCUGAGGAGCGAAAGCAUGGGGAGCGAACAGGAUUAGAUACCCUGGUAGUCCAUGCCGUAAACGUUGGGCACUAGGUGUGGGGGACAUUCCACGUUUUCCGCGCCGUAGCUAACGCAUUAAGUGCCCCGCCUGGGGAGUACGGCCGCAAGGCUAAAACUCAAAGGAAUUGACGGGGGCCCGCACAAGCGGCGGAGCAUGCGGAUUAAUUCGAUGCAACGCGAAGAACCUUACCAAGGCUUGACAUUCACCGGACCGCCCCAGAGAUGGGGUUUCCCUUCGGGGCUGGUGGACAGGUGGUGCAUGGUUGUCGUCAGCUCGUGUCGUGAGAUGUUGGGUUAAGUCCCGCAACGAGCGCAACCCUCGUUCUAUGUUGCCAGCACGUGAUGGUGGGGACUCAUAGGAGACUGCCGGGGUCAACUCGGAGGAAGGUGGGGAUGACGUCAAAUCAUCAUGCCCCUUAUGUCUUGGGCUUCACGCAUGCUACAAUGGCCGGUACAAAGGGUUGCGAUACUGUGAGGUGGAGCUAAUCCCAAAAAGCCGGUCUCAGUUCGGAUUGAGGUCUGCAACUCGACCUCAUGAAGUCGGAGUCGCUAGUAAUCGCAGAUCAGCAACGCUGCGGUGAAUACGUUCCCGGGCCUUGUACACACCGCCCGUCAAGUCACGAAAGUUGGUAACACCCGAAGCCGGUGGCCUAACCCCUUGUGGGAGGGAGCCGUCGAAGGUGGGACUGGCGAUUGGGACUAAGUCGUAACA